CACCACAAACCCGCACUCGGUACCUAAAUGAGGAAUAUCCUUUUUAUGGUUAUUAUACUUAUUACUAUUUCCAGAAUCUAGACAAGUCGUUGAAUUAUUUUACGGUUUAAAAACGAACAAACAAACAAACAAAAGAAAAAAAACAAACCUCGAUUGCUUUGCCUUUUUAAAGUAUAAUUCAAAUAACUUGUUGCUUUUCGCUUGAAAAUGCAACGUUGUUUAAUUAUUGGCGACUCUUCAUUGUUCCUUGCUUCCUUCGGCUUUCCAUCUUUAUCAGUCAGUUCUCGCUUGUCGAUAUUAAAUUGUUAAUGACAUAGGAAGCAAAUUUAGAUUCAUAUACGUUACGGCUACCUACAAUAACAGAAAUUUUCACGAAAAGAAAGCUAAAGAAAACAUACUAUGAAAAGAGAUUAGAUUUAUAACCUGCAGCGUUCUUUGUAGCAAGGUCAAGCAUUACUCCUUAAUCAAUGUCGUGCAGUUAUUUCCCGGCCUUGAAAUAAUUUUGCUCUUAAAAUGUUCACUAAUGGAUCAUGGUACUUCAACGACAUGCUAAAAUAAGAUUCACUCUCCAUGAUUUCUACGUAUUUUCGUUUGACGUGUACUGUGCAGUAGUAUUAUGGCCUCUAGUGUUUAGAUAAUUAUCAGGCUUUCACACGCAAAAUACAAUACAUUGCUCAAAUAAUGAUGUCACAGAUUGUGUCAACAGUAAUAUAUUGACCAUUAAAGUCCAUUAAAAUGAACUUGUAUUCAACAACUUUAAUUUCGUAAUUUGCCAGUUUUUGUUUCUUACAUUUACUCAAAAGGUGGUAGUUAGCGUGAUUUCACUUUGCGUUAGAUCUAUUUUUCACUGUCGAAGCCAAAAAUGUUCUUUUUUUUAUCUAAAUCAGUGGCAUCUAAUUUGGUUCUCCCUCCCUAUAUAUUAUUACAGAAAUUAACCUUUUAGAAGUAUCCCUCUUUUAAUGAUCUGUGACUCGUGUUAGGAUUUUUAACCCCUCGAUAAUUAAAACAUUGAAACGUCAGACCUAUUUCCUGUCGGGAGUAGAUUUAGAGCCACGUUGCGCUUUUUUGCCUAAAGCGAAACGCUAUUAGACCUCCUUAGCAAAAAAGAAAACUACGUUCAGCUUAGUGAAAAAUACUUCAAAAUUAAUUAGGAAGUUUCGUCUAUUUCCUGCCUGACUUGUAUUUGGUUGGUGCUUAUGAAAUCCUUUUUGCACAUUUUCCCCGACCACGCAAACAUCAACCUGCCAUAUAGGAUGAUCCAUCCGAUUCCACAGUAACAGUAAUUACUGCAUUGGCUGAUAUCACUAUGGGUCCGAAAAUGUUGAUCACAGUUUGGCUGGGAAUUCUUUUAUGUAUUGCAGGAACAAGCUUGGUAACUGCUCAAAGUCAUUACCCAUGGUUUGGCCAAAAAUCAAAUCAGGGCCCUGCCCCUGGUAAACGAUCAGCGAUCCCAAGAAACCUUGAGGCACGAAACUUUAUCCGGGGGGAGACAUUAUGGAAACGGGUGAACCGCCAGAGAUACGAUGAAGACCGCUGACCACCGAGCCGUCUGCCAAACGUGCGAGCCAAAACAACGUUAACUUAUAGACACUUAUACAUUGUAAGAAUAAAAGUUAAAAGAUGUUGGCAAUAACAGAUUUAAGAGAAGCAGUGUGUCUCAUGGUAACGCUGUUGUAAUGUUCUAUUAUGAGGUGAAUAAAGUGAGUUACACUGUUCACAAGA